rnacentral:tRNA from 1 species
UGCCAUAUGUUCUAGUGGUUAGGAUUUGGCGCUUUCACCGCCAAGGCCCGGGUUCAAUUCUCGGUGUGGAAC